GACGAACGCUGGCGGCGUGCUUAACACAUGCAAGUCGAACGGAAAGGCCCUGCUUUUGUGGGGUGCUCGAGUGGCGAACGGGUGAGUAACACGUGAGUAACCUGCCCUUGACUUUGGGAUAACUUCAGGAAACUGGGGCUAAUACCGGAUAGGCGCUCCUGCUGCCUGGUGGGGGGUGGAAAGUUUCGGCGGUUGGGGAUGGACUCGCGGCUUGUCAGCUGGUUGGUGGGGUAGUGGCUUACCAAGGCUUUGACGGGUAGCCGGCCUGCUAGGGUGACGGGCCACAUUGGGACUGAGAUACGGCGCGGACUCGUACGGGGGGCAGCAGUGGGGAAUAUUGCACAAUGGGCGGAAGCCGGAGGGAGCAACGUCGAGGGCGGGAUGACGGCCUUCGGGUUGUAAACCGCUUUCGCCUGUAACGAAGCGUGAGUGACGGUAAUGGGUAAAGAAGCACCGGCUAACUACGUG
rnacentral:rRNA from 1 species